rnacentral:antisense_RNA from 1 species
AGAUCAGCCCUGGGGUUCAGAGGGAUCCUGACGGCUACUCCUCAAGAUCCUCUCUGUUGUGAUUCAUCCCCCCCAGGCCCUACAGUUUCUCCUUCCUGACUCUUACAUUUCUUUGGAUGGCAUCACUAUUUACCUGUCUCCUCCCAUAGUUAGUUGCCAAGCACUGUGGAUUCUACCCCUCAGGGUCCAGACACCCAUUUUCCUUCCCACUGUUCCCUCCCCAUGGAGAAGCCUGUGGCUGACUGACAGCUCAACUUGGAGAAGGUGUUACCUGGGCCAGGUGGGGAAGGUAGGGUUGUUUGCAGAGCAAAGAAGUGAAGCCUAUUCAAUGUGAAAAAGAUGAGGGCGAAGACCUUUAUGAUGAUCCAAGUAAUGAACACACUGGAGAAAGUCAAACAGUCAAAACAAUGUCCCAGACUCCGUGAAGUUCCUGGGUAGAGAAGUAGACAGACGUACACCAUACCUAAUAAUUGGAGGUCCAAGAGAAUGAGAGAAUGGCAGAAAGAACUUUAGACUUUUUUCUAGCAAUACAUGGAAAUAGGGGCGUGUCGGCAACUCAAGUUCAGAAAAUGAAGAAAGUGACAGUUCUGCACACCUGAAUUAUGGCUGUAAAUUUUAAAGCCAUCAUAUGUGAUCCUUGUUUUUACCUGGAUUCUAACUGCUUCCUAAAGCCAUGGAUUGCUCAGAUUCAAUAAGCAGAGGAACGGGAAGCAGCAAGAAUUACCAGAAAUAAAUAUAUAUCAGAUAAUGUG